rnacentral:misc_RNA from 1 species
UUACAAUAGAUUUUACCGUCAGACCACGAGAUACCUUUCUGUUGGGCCAUUGCAUUGCCACUGAUUUUCCAACAUAUAAAAAGACAAGCCCGAACAGUCGUCCGGGCUUUUUUU